rnacentral:rRNA from 1 species
GACGGGGGGGCAAGUGUUCUUCGGAAUGACUGGGCGUAAAGGGCACGUAGGCGGUGAAUCGGGUUGAAGUGAAAUCGCCAAAAAAGUGGCGGAAUGCUCUCGAAACCAAUUCACUUGAGUGAGACAGAGGAGAGUGGAAUUUCGUGUGUAGGGGUGAAAUCCGUACGAUCUACGAAGGAACGCCAAAAGCGAAGGCAGCUC